rnacentral:rRNA from 1 species
GAUUAUGGCUCAGGACGAGCGCUGGCGGCGCGCCUAACACAUGCAAGUCGAACGAGAGAUGAGGAGCUUGCCCUUCAAAUCGAGUGGCGAACGGGUGAGUAACGCGUGAGGAACCUGCCUCAAAGAGGGGGACAACAGUUGGAAACGACUGCUAAUACCGCAUAAGCCCACAGCUCGGCAUCGAGCAGAGGGAAAAGGAGCAAUCCGCUUUGAGAUGGCCUCGCGUCCGAUUAGCUAGUUGGUGAGGUAACGGCCCACCAAGGCGACGAUCGGUAGCCGGACUGAGAGGUUGAACGGCCACAUUGGGACUGAGACACGGCCCAGACUCCUACGGGAGGCAGCAGUGGGGAAUAUUGCACAAUGGGGGAAACCCUGAUGCAGCGACGCCGCGUGGAGGAAGAAGGUCUUCGGAUUGUAAACUCCUGUUGUUGAGGAAGAUAAUGACGGUACUCAACAAGGAAGUGACGGCUAACUACGUGCCAGCAGCCGCGGUAAAACGUAGGUCACAAGCGUUGUCCGGAAUUACUGGGUGUAAAGGGAGCGCAGGCGGGAGAACAAGUUGGGAGUGAAAUCCAUGGGCUCAACCCAUGAACUGCUUUCAAAACUGUUUUUCUUGAGUAGUGCAGAGGUAGGCGGAAUUCCCGGUGUAGCGGUGGAAUGCGUAGAUAUCGGGAGGAACACCAGUGGCGAAGGCGGCCUACUGGGCACCAACUGACGCUGAGGCUCGAAAGUGUGGGUAGCAAACAGGAUUAGAUACCCUGGUAGUCCACACCGUAAACGAUGAUUACUAGGUGUUGGAGGAUUGACCCCUUCAGUGCCGCAGUUAACACAAUAAGUAAUCCACCUGGGGAGUACGACCGCAAGGUUGCAACUCAAAGGAAUUGACGGA